UAUUAAUCCAACAUCAGCAGCAUGUUUUCAGAGAUGGACAGGACUCCUAGAAUGGGGGAAUGAGCAACUGAAGACUUAUGCGUUAAAUCCCCACCAAAUGGAAAAUGCCAACUGCUAUCACAUAGACCUCGGAGAAGGAAGACCUGGGGACUGAACUCUGGUCUCUGUUCUUCAUUCUGCAUUUCUUCCUGAGGGGCCUGGAGAGAAUCACACCCUUGGGCCAAACCAAUGUCUAACCUCCAUGUAUUGAUUUAUGAUUUUUCCUACAACUUCUGCUCUCCUGGAAUUGUCUGGCUUUCCUGCACUGGGCAAGAAGACCCCAGUUUGGUUUGGUGGCAGCUGUUUAUAUAAAACUUCCUGAAAUCCCCCCAUUGUGAACCUGGGAGUCAACAAAAACAACAAAGUGAAGCAGGGUUUGUUUGUUUGUUUGUUCGUUGCUUUUGUUUUAUUUUGAGAAUAGAGAGGACUGUGGGGGAAGAAAGAUAUACUUGUUCCUAUUCCCACGCCAUGCAUUUUGGAUGAUGUGAUACCUUUGUUGG